CCCGAGGUCUGAGCCCGUGGAGUCAGCGUGGAGAGCCCUCGUCUCCAGCAGCCAGCUGGAGCAGACCGCUGGGAAAAGGGAGUUUGGUGUGUGACAGCGAGAUUCGCCAGUGCCCCUUCUACCAUUGCAUAUGAGCCUGGAUGUAGCCACCCUGUCAGGAGUGUAAAAUUUACAGCAGAAAUUAUUUUAACACUGGAAAAGCUCUUUCUCAUCUGAACCAUCAUUCAAAAUGCAUGAUGGAAGUCACCAAGCAGUUUUCCAUCCCACUGUCUGCAGGACUCCAGCAGGUCUUCUGAAGCUUAAGCAUAUCGCAGGCUGCUCCUAAAAAGAAAAAGAAGUUAUCUGGUGAAAUGAACUCAGAACACACAAAGAGGAGCCACUGGGGACUAAUCUGCAAGGUAUUCAGUUGCGCCGAUGACACUCAAAUCAGAAACUGCUAACCAUUGGCUGCUCCAGGUAUGAUGUCAAAGCCAACAAGGGAGACUUGAUGUAGUAUGACUCAAAACCAGAAGGAUUUUGAAACAGAAAGAAUGACUUACUGGGGAACCAAGUUUGAAACGAAAGAAGUGAAGAUUGGUCAUCUCUGCAGAGGAGAUUACAAGAAAAAACUAUUUCAUACAUCUUCCUGACAAGUCUUUCUCAGAAGAAACAGCUGCAGAAUGUGGAAUCAUUUGCGUGAAAUUCCUGUUGGCAAGGCCUUCAACCUUCAACUUCUGCUGGAUCCAGCUGAGUGAUCAAAGAGGGAACUUCUGCAGAUCCCCACAUGCUGAAAGCCAGGGCAGAUGGCUUCAUCCCCCUGCAGUGUGACCAGCUGCCCUCAGGGUGGGAUUUGCCGAGUGAAACAACUCUCCUUGAUCCGUGUGGGGCUGAUGGAUGCAGCAUUUAUUCUGUUCUUUAAUUAACUAGCAAAAGGUUAGCUCGCUGAUUAAGGUAGGGUGUUUGUUCUAAAAGUUUGCUUAUUUAUUAAAGCAGUGUUUAUAUUAGAACACAGACUGAUAUCUCAGUUAUUCCACAGAUCUGCCCUGAACGGGAAAUGUUGUUGUCUAUCAAACCAGGUGGCAGAGAAUAUCAACUGCCCCCAAACUCGAGUACCAGUUUGAGGCUACAGAAGCUGAUGCUGUAGUGGCAGUUCUGCUAAUCCCCCUGUUUCAGUGGGCUGUGCUUAAUUUGGUCAUCAAUUCAGAGCUGGAUUAAUGCCCAGUUAGGAGCAUUGCUGAGCAGGCCACAAUUCCUCACAAUCUUGACAAAUGCAUUGCUCAGUCUUUGGGGUUUACCUAUGCAGAACUCGGGAAAUGCCCUUAGAGAACCUCAGCUCUUCCCCAUUAGGAUAGUGGAGGAGUAUCUGGAAGCAAGUUAAACAAUCCCUCUGAGUCAGCAUCCAUUCUGUGUCAUAGUGAUGCCUUUCCCUAAGUGACAAA